AAUGAAUUGGAGUGGCAUGAAGCAUGAGAUAAGCAGACCACUUACAAGACUGUUGCAGUUGUAAAGCAUAGGAUGACAGGACUGGAUUAAGAUUCAGAGCCCCAGCCUGUUCAUAAAAAAAAUCAGAUGAAUUUUGUCUGCGGAACAUUCUGCAAAAAUAUCUGACCAGUAAGUAAUCCUCUAAAUAGCCACAGCCAUCAACAGCAAGGAAAGUCUGAGAAAGUGUCACAGCCAAG
rnacentral:lncRNA from 10 species